GGUAACGGCCUACCAAGGCUAAGACGGCUAGGGGGCGUGAGAGCGCGACCCCCCACAAUGGAACUGAGACACGGUCCAUACUCCUACGGGAGGCAGCAGUGAGGAAUAUUGCGCAAUGGGGGCAACCCUGACGCAGCAACGCCGCGUGGACGAUGAAGGCCUUCGGGUUGUAAAGUCCUUUUUUGGGGGAUGAUAAUGACGGUACCCCAAGAAUAAGUCCCGGCUAACUACGUGCCAGCAGCCGCGGUAAAACGUAGGGGGCGAGCGUUAUCCGGAUUUACUGGGCGUAAAGCGCACGUAGGCGGCGCUGUAAGUUGGACGUGAAAGCUCUCGGCUUAACUGGGAGAGGUCGUUCAAUACUGCGGUGCUCGAGGUUGGGAGAGGAGAGUGGAAUUCCCGGUGUAGUGGUGGAAUGCGUAGAUAUCGGGAGGAACACCAGUGGCGAAGGCGACUCUCUGGUCCACACCUGACGCUGAGGUGCGAAAGCGUGGGGAGCGAACGGGAUUAGAUACCCCGGUAGCCCACGCCGUAAACGAUGGAUACUAGGUGUAGGAGGUCAUUUACCCCUUCUGUGCCGUAGCUAACGCGUUAAGUAUCCCGCCUGGGGACUACGAUCGCAAGGUUAAAACUCAAAGGAAUUGACGGGGGCCCGCACAAGCAGCGGAGCGUGUGGUUUAAUUCGAUGAUACGCGAAGAACCUUACCUGGGUUUGACAUGUUGGUAGUAGUGAAGCGAAAGCGGAACGACCCUUCGGGGAGCCAUCACAGGUGCUGCAUGGCUGUCGUCAGCUCGUGUCGUGAGAUGUUGGGUUAAGUCCCGCAACGAGCGCAACCCUCGUCGUUAGUUACAAGUGUCUAACGAGACUGCCGGUAUCAAACCGGAGGAAGGUGGGGAUGACGUCAAGUCAGCAUGGUCUUUAUAUCCAGGGCUACACACACGCUACAAUGGUCGGUACAAUAGGCUGCCACACCGCGAGGUGAAGCUAAUCCUCAAAGCCGGUCUCAGUUCGGAUUGUAGUCUGCAACUCGACUGCAUGAAGGCGGAGUUGCUAGUAACCGCGCGUCAGCAAUAGUGCGGUGAAUGCGUUCCCGGGCCUUGUAUACACCGCCCGUCACAUCAUGGAAGUCGGUAACACCUGAAGUUGGCGACCGAACCGAAAGGUAGGAGCUGC
rnacentral:rRNA from 1 species